UACGUAGGGGGCAAGCGUUAUCCGGAAUUACUGGGUGUAAAGGGUGCGUAGGCGGCACGCCAAGUCAGUUGUGAAACCCGUAGGCUCAACCUACGGCUUGCAAUUGAAACUGGCGAGCUAGAGUACAGGAGAGGAAAGCGGAAUUCCUAGUGUAGCGGUGAAAUGCGUAGAUAUUAGGAAGAACACCGGUGGCGAGGGCGGCUUUCUGGACUGAAACUGACGCUGAGGCACGAAAGCGUGGGGAGCAAACAGG
rnacentral:rRNA from 1 species